UUCGUCAAAAAUGAGUUAAAGUAGAAAUCGCACACUUUAAGGCCAUAUUAAUGUCCCAAACAGAAAAUUGCAGCUAAUUUCUCAUAGAUGGCGCCGCUGUAGUAAGUCCCGUUAUGUCACCAUAACUUUAUAUUGCAACAGAAGGAGACAAGCCACAGUAGUAAUCAACAUGGCGGCGGAACAUUCCCGUGCAUGUAAAUGGAAAAUAGACGUUUCUGAAUUUGAUUCUGAACACAGUGACUAAGAUCCGUUUUUAAAUGAAAGCGAAGAUGUCAAAGACUAUACAGUAUGCGCAAGUAGCAGCGAUUCCUAAAACAUAAACUUAGGAACGGUUUGUUUAUUAAACGUGUGGCUUGUCCCCUUAUGUUAUAUUUUUCAAACCUAAAAAUAUUAGGAUUGUUCUAAAGGUUUUUUGGGGCUUAUCCCUUUUUAGUAAAAUACUUACUUUAUUGUAGGAAAAUGAAUAGAACCAAAAAAAUUAGGUGCACCUUGCGGUUGCA
rnacentral:lncRNA from 1 species